rnacentral:lncRNA from 1 species
UUGUCCUCUCUCCAGCUCGACUCAACUCCCUGCCUUUCCCCGCGGCCGGGAGCAGGCUGGAGCAGCCGUAACRCGAGGCUGCCGGCUCUGCGCAGUGUCUGCGGAGCGAGCUGGACAGAAGGUGGCAAGCGGCUGUAGUCCAACCGCUCGUCCGAGUGAAGAGCAAUUCCUGCCGAGAGUCUGGGCUUCAAGAUCAGUCUCCUUCAGCUUACGGUCACUUCGUGGAGGUAUGUUUAAUGACAAGCACCCCGCGGUCCCCGGCGGAGCGGGGAGCCCUGCUGCUUCCCUCCGUCCGUCCUGCCACCCAGCCCUUCUGCGUACCCAAAGGAAGCGUCACGGCGGUGCCUGCCGCCGAACAACCCCRGGAAAAGGCUGGGAAACUCUUGUGUGUAGGACUUCGAAAACCAGGCUACAAACGGGGCUGGAGGCGCCGCUGAGCUGCCGGGGAAGCGCUAAUUGCCCACGUGCUGGAGACC